UUUCAAGAGCUGUAUAUGAUGACUUCCCAGUUCUUUGUUCUCACUUUUUAAAAAAUAAUUCUACUGAUGUGCAGAUGAUCCCAUCUCACCCACCCGGAGCCACUAAAGCAACAGCAGUUGGUAAUUCCAACGGACCACAUUGUUCUACCUGUCAUGUUCCCUCGUUAGAGGGCUGGCUGAAAUUCGGGCCACACCGUGCCACGUUGCCACCAGAGACAGGAGAGCCUGCCUGAAGCCACAGAGUCAGCGUGCAAAGAUCUGGGGCAAUAAACAAGCAAGGGAGCGAGCCACCUUGGCUCUGCAGGAAUCGCGUCGCCAACCGGGAGAGCUGGGAGCAGACCCCAUCUCCUGAGCUGUACCCGGGCGUGCCGAGUUGGACACCAUGACCCUCAUGGGUCCCUUCCACUUUUUGGGUUAUUCUGUGAUAUAAAAGAUCAGAUUUCGGAGCGGAGCAUUCUGCAGGGCCCCCUCCCACCUGGAAACAUGGGCCGGGAAUGCUGGGAACGAGGUGCGGCCAAGCGCUGCCCAGCAUCAUCCCAUGAGAGCCACCAAACCGGCGGCCAGCAAGACAGUCUAAUCCUACACCUUGGAGCAUCUGUCCUCCUCGGGGAGAUGGAAACGGAGCGUGGCCAGACAGGUUCCAGAGAAGGGGGAAACGCUCACUGGAAACAACACUUGGCUCCAACGACUGUGUCUGGAAGCUGUGGCCACGCGCCUCUCUGGGAUGUGCAAACAGCCACGCGUGGGGUUGUAACACGGACGCAUCCACCCGCACCGACAGCAAAAAGCAAGAAUUGAGAGGAAGGAAAACCCCACGGAACUGCCCAGGUGGACGAUGGGGCAGGUCUGGCAAGGGAAGAAUUAGUCAGGAACACAUUCAACACUGUUUAAAAAGGGGUUCUCCGUGUGCGUCUGCAUUGAAGUGUGACUUCAAAGACGUACAGACGAAGGGUCCCCACCAGCAAUGCCCUCCUUGACAAAUGCACGCAAAUCCUCCCGUGCACCUCGAGAAAAAACCUUCCCCCAGACCCCCCCGGUCACCAGCACGCCUCCCGGGGCUGUGUUUGUACAACACGGCCGCUUCCAAAGCAAACAGACACCAUCAAACCGCAGCGGCUAUUCCAUAUUGAGACGCAUCAAUAAAAUGUGAUUUAUAGCAUUGUCACGGGAACGUUUUGUCCUUAUCGAGCUCAAGAUAAGAUAGGAGGCAUUGAGAAAGGCUCGUUAAAGCGCAGUCUGGCAGUCGGCACAUUAACGAACUUGCUUUUCAAAGCUUAUUAGCAAAGAGGCAACCGGUGUAAAGGAACAGCUUGCAGGAGUGGGUGGGAGAGGGAAAGCGGUGCUCACACCACGGCUUCUACCUUCAAGAAGCCCACUUGUUUUGUGAUCCUGAACUAUUCCGGAGCUCCCGUGCGGAUGAAGAGCUCGCUGGGCUCCUCCCGUCCCUAUCUUUUUCUGGCUCAGAGUUUAAUGGGAGUAUCUCAGAAGCCGUUUGAGUUUUUCCUCCUCUAGGAGCGCCCUGCAGCCGCACUUGUUUGUCGAGGGGAGGUUUUCAGAGCAGAAAGCCCAGGCUUGAAGGCGGACCCAGUGAUAGCGAUAGGGAAGGCCUUGUGCAAAGAAGCAGCAAACCGUGCGGCGUCGGUAGCUCUGCAAGCUCUGCAAGGAGACUGCUUUGCGGCACGCAGCCUCACACCCCCCAGUGCACGAAAUCUUCGGCCUCUGAGCCCCUCUGGCACCAGCAGAACGCUGAGUUACAUCCUUCAGGUUCGGGACGUCCCCUUCUCGGUCACCUCGCUUUCAUCCCUGUGCCCUCUGACUUCUGCCCCCCGCCCUUUUCCCCACCUCGAUGAGCCGUCCUUAUCGUCCUCUUCCUAUUUUUGAGUGUGCGUUGAGAUAAGGCAAACAGAUAAGCGAUCCCUCCCACAGAGAUUUACUUGCAUAAUCUGAACGUUUACUCCAAUUAGAGCACAAAAGGCCUCAGUCCCUCCAUCCCCUUUAACUCCAUUGCUAAGGUCAAUAUUUGCCUGGCAGCAGCUCCCACCACCCAGGCAGCGGGGACGGACACGGCAGACGCUGGGAAACAGAUCGCUUUUCAUCGUGCAUUCAUUCGAAAGCCGCCUGCAAAUGGGAAAGCAUUGCAGAAGUCAUCACGAGAGAAAGGACAGCACGGGAGCGGUUGACUCAAGGGCACGGGGAAUUCCCCCGCUUGAAAGGCCGAGGACCAAGGGCGGGCGUCUUCUAGGAAGGCACAGGAUGGUGGCUAUUUAGUUCCCAAUGCCCUGAGCAUGAGAUGCAUCCCAGGUCCCCAAAUCCCCCCUUCCUGCGGCCGCGCGUCCUGCCCAUCAGCCUCUCGUGUCUCUCUAUUUCUCUGCUGAGGAUAAAACGACCGUGGGAGAGACCGCCGCUGCCAGCAGAGCUUUUACAGACAGCUUGCCCAAUAGGUGCUCCUACGGCCACAGCCGUCCCGACCGCUGGGUCAGAAGGAGGGUUCUCCAUAAAGGAGAGAGAGGCUCGGCCUCCGAAGGCCCAUUCUCCACUCUCCGUGGGCUUUGCAGGACCUCGGGCUUUGCAGGACCUUGGGCUCUCCGGUUGUCCCAGGACAUCUCCCGCAGCCCGAGCGUGGUGAACGGCUGCUGACACCUGGUGGUGAGGCCCACGGGCCAGCCCGGCGCUGCAGAGGACGGAAGCACCUGUAGGGGCUCAUAUGGGCAACGUCUGCAGGGAGACGGGGUACAGAGAAAUCCCGCUGCUCCGGGACGGGGGAAAGCAUCCAGCAGCCAAAGCGCUGGGGGAAAAGGAAGCAGCUCCAGGCAGAGCAUCUCUUGCGAGGCUUUAAAGUCCAUUUGAUGUCUGCUCGCAAACGGGAGGAAUCAUUAUGAAUGUAUGUGAAGCGAUUAGCAAACAUCCACAUCUAUUAGGCAUAAAGGAAAAAAAAAAAAAUCCGGACCAAAAUAGCUGUCAGAAUGGCUCCCUUUGCUCCUUUAUGCUAUUUGAGCUCAUCGUUUGCAGAAACUCAAUCUCAGCUCUUUAAACGAGCAUAUGGUGGGGAAACAAGAGGGAAAGGCAAAACGUUUCUGCCCGGCUUUACGCGCAGAGCAGGCUUUGUGCGAUCAGAGCGGGGAGGCUGCAGAACGUAAACACGGUAAUUAAGGCACUCGUUCUAAUUGCAGGCAGUUAAUUGCGCUGUACGCUGCAUAACUGAGCCACCCCGAGCGCCGCGAGCCGCACAUCGUCGGAAAUCCCUCGUGUGUUCUUUAGCCCGACUUCGGGGAUCCUCCGUUCCCGCGUCGGCUUUUCGUCCUCGCUCAGCUCUUUGGUAUCAGGAUCGGGCCCCGCAUCUUCAUUUUCUUACACUAAAACGUAUUUGCAUGGGGUAUACCCGCGGUUUCCAACCACGCCUUUGGACCUUGCCAAAAUCCAGAAGCCUUCAAGCCAACGUUCAGCGUCAAGCCUGUCAUCGCGACGGAUCGCGAGCUCUUAUUGCUCCGUCUCCCUCUCCAUCAGAAAUCAAUCGAAUGAACCGCGUGGUAGAAUGAGGACACCAUCUCCGCUGGAAAAAAAUAAAGCCACCCCCAUUAUUUCACACCCCAAAGGACUCGCGGCGACGGGGCACCCCGUGGGGCCGCGUGGGUACCACUAGGGGUCACCCCCGUCCGCCGACGGUCCCGGUGCCGAAGCAGGGUCGCCUCCUGGGGCGGUGAGCAUCUGGUGUACGGGUGUACUGGUGGUAGGGGACUGUUGGACUGGAUGAGCUUAGGGGUCUUUUCCAACCUCGAGGAUGGAAUGAUUCCACGAUGGGAGGGCCGGGUCUGUCCCCGCGCGGCGUGCUGGCGGGGUGUGUUGGGAUCACACGGCACGCACUGACGGAGGCGUGCAGCUGCCCGGCUGUGUUUUGAGAGGAGGAACCUCUGGCAGCUCAUCCACGCUAUCCCAUCGCACCCUCCUCGUGGCCGUAGCGCUCUUUAGACACGCUGGAGGCCAGCUCCAUCCAUCAGGCUGCAGGUGGCACUGAGGUCUGACCGGAGGCCUUCUCCUCCCCUCCAGGCACCGCUCGGCCGCUGCGCAGCCGCGGGGCUGCUGGGUGCACGCAGCCUUCGACAAAGCCCCGUGUGAGCACGCAGCACAGGGCCAGCUUUGUCCUCCCGAACAGGCUCGCCUUUCUUCCCACCAAGAAACACUGCUGCGGGACUCCGCACCUCCCAGGGAAAGCAGGAGCUCCCAGGGAACAAGAAAAGCCCCGUUCUGUGCUGCGGAACAAAGGAAACACGGAGCAAAAAGCGGCCUCCGCUCCGCAGCGCACCCCAGCUCCUGCUCCAGCUGCUCUGCACCGGGGGAACACCAGCACCGAGCCCUCCCGGGUCCCGCAGGACUGCAAAGCGGCGCAGGAGCGAGGAGCCGGCACCGGUGCCGGACUGCAGGUUGUCAGCAGACCCCACCAUCCCAUAACGUUAGGGUUGCAGAGCCGCAUCGGCAGGGUGGUCUUUCCUCCUGUGUGUUCCUGUCCAAGGGACGCUGCAGGCUGUAGCUAGACAAGGAACAAACGGAUUGCAUCAUUCUGCCACGGUGAAAGGGGUGUUGUGGGUACAGCACCACGGAGCUGCUCCCAUUGUCCAGCUCUCCUUGCUGCCCCACAUCCAAGCCAUCGGAUGAAUCCAUGAGUCCGGAGGUGCCGGUUAGCACCCCUGCUUGACAGGACGCCUGAGAAGAUAAUUAGCGCCCGUUUGCUGCUUUCAGAGAGCAGAUUCUGAGUGUCGCCACGUCUCCAAAGAGCAGGGUUACAGAGGGGCUCUGAGGAUCUUUGACAGCCCACAGCGAGCAGAACGCGUGCAGGAUCGGGGCAGCGCAGGGAGCCGAGCCGCCGAGCGAGAGCGACCGAGAACCCGGGCGCCUGCUAAGCGGGGGAUGCGGGGUUUCACCCUUUGGAUGCAAUGGGAGAGUGCAAGCGCUCACACCGUGUGGAAGGGCAGAAAUCUGCUUUGCGUCUUGAAAUAGUGACGUGCUAAAAGUCCUGCCCGCAACCUGCACACCGAGGCUCUCGGGAACCCGGCACAGCAUCGUACCGCUGCCGGGUUCCCCCGGCUCUUCGGGGCGCAUUGCAUGCACAGGGACAUCAUUGUCAGGGAGAGCCAAGCCUGAUGGUUUUAGCACAGCUGUCAGGACCCAGGCCGGCCCUAACGAGGCCCCCAGGUGCCGCGGGGCUGGGCUGCCCCAGCACAGGGUGAAGGCUGCAGCGAGGAUCGGCCCAGACCGCUGAGCAGCUGUAGCAGCGAUGGGACCACGGAGGGGAGCACGCUCCCUCAUCCCCAAACCCUGGGGACCGUUGCACACUGGGGGUUCCCCUGCUCUUCCAUUGGGGUCAAUGCAGCGCUGCUGCCAUGCUCCCCAUCAGCUCUUUCUGGGGGUUGGCCCAGGGCUGCCGCCGAGCUCCCCGAGGCCGAGAGCAGCCCUGGGGUGAGGCGCUUUGCAGCAAGGAUCAGCCCGAAGCCGUGAGCAGUUUCCUCAGCGCUGGGGCUGCCGAGGUGAGCGCUGGGGUGCGGGGGUGUGAUUCUUUAAUUUUUCACUUUCUUUUCCACAGACUUGUAGGGGUCGGAAGGGACCGCUAGAGAUCAUCGACUCCAACCCCCCUGCAAAGCAGGUGUCCAGAUGGGUCUCGAAUAUCUCCAGAGAAGGGGACUGUGCCACCUCCAUCUCCCUCCCAUGAAGAAGCUCCUUUGCAUAUUGGUGCAGAACUUCCUACACUCCAGUUUAUGGCUGUUUUUUUCCCCCCCCCUGUUGCUGUCCCUGCAGACCACUGAAAAGAGGUUGGCCGUGUCCCACCCUUAAGGCAUCUAUAAAUGUGUAUCAGAUCCCGUCUCAGUUGUGUCUUCUCCAGGUUGAACAGACCUGGGUCCCCAAGCCUUUCCUCACAGAGAGCUGCUCCAGGCCCUGUAUCAUCUUUGCGGAGCUCUGCUGGACUCCUUUCCACGAGAUUUUGGUCUGUUUUGUACCAAGCAGCCCAGAAGUGGAUGCAGUACCUUCAGCUUUGUUAUCAGGAUGUUUUGGAUGACAGUAUGGCAAAACCCUGCUGGGUCAAGGUGGAAGACAUCUCCUGCUCCCCCCCCAUCUGUGCAGCUGGUGAUGCCAUUAUAGAAAGUUGCUUGGAGAUGGCAACCAGAGCAAGCCGUUCAGCCUUGUGGCCUGGGUGCGGGGUUCUCACCCCAGCAGCCCCUCAGAGGGGGUCUGUGGUGUUGGAGGGAGGAUCCAGGUGCUGUGAAGCCAUUGGGUGGCUCUGCAGAGCGAGGUCUAUCUCCCGGAGGAAGGCUGCCAGCUCUUCCCUCAUCCCCCUGCUGCGGAGAUGGGGUGACAGAGCUGGGUUCCUAGAAGGCUGCUGAGGGUGUGCAGUGUCCAGGAGGAGCUGAGAGGUGUUAUGUCCUUGGAGGGAGCAGAGGCUUCUGCGGCCAGCGCAGGUCCCCCAGGGCAGCGGUCCACGUUUCCCAGGCUGCGGAGCAGCAGCAUGACUGGGCUCCUGAGGUGGAUACAAGGGUCUAAGCCUCUGCUGCUGCUCAGGGUGGCGUGGUUUCCCUUCCAUCUGCAGAAAGACUGAGGUGGCAGCAGAAGUGGAAGACUUCAGAGAAUGCGUGCGGGAGAAUGCACUUGUGAAUACCUGACAUCUCUAAGCACCAGCGGUAGCUUACCAGCAGCUUGAGGCUUUCAGGUUCCCGGUAAAGCUGCUGCGUUCCAGGCACUGGGACUUGAAGUAAUGCUCUUGAAUGGGAAAGUUCUCUCUACUGUAUAAAGAGAAACAAAUCAGUAAAUCGGUCCAGCAGAAAAAUACAAAAUACAAAUGCUUCUAAAUGUCCUUACCUUAUCAUAAGAGAUGUGUUAGAAACUAGAUGUAUUCAUCUAUUUGUGCCUUUGUAAACAGCAAGUAUAAUUAACUAUGACAAAUGAAAACUAAGGUUCUGUGGCAGAACUGAAGUUUUUUGGGGGGAAAAAGCUGGGAGGUGAUAAGAUGCAACAUCUUCAUGGAAGAGGUCAAGCUAAAUGUGUUCUCCUAGCUUUCAUGUUAAUAAACCUAUGUAUUCUUAAACUGUGCUCAUGAGUGGAAUUUCUGUUUAGUAACUUCCCUAAUUUUAUGAAUGUCUGUGUACUCUUGUGCUGUACCUGAAAUGUUGCAAUGCUGUUUGCGAAAUGUAAUAUUGCAAUGUAUGUUGGUGUUAAUGCUAUUCAUGUAGUGUAUUUCCUUCUCUUAGCAAUACAGAGUUGCAGAACAGAUUCAUCUAUGAGCAAUGUAGGAUAGGAGAACACAAAUAAAGAACAAGCUGCAUGGGGCUUUAACUACUGCUGGAGCUGUAGGGUGCCCUGCAGGAGAGCGGGACCGGGUUGCUCUGAAGGGUCCCUUCCACUUCAAACGAUUCUGAUUCUACUCUACCCCUCUUUCCUCACUGGUACUUCAGCAUUCCUUUGCUGUUACAACAGUACUCGGCUAGGUCAAGGAGAGCAGGGGCUCACAAACAGAGCGCAUGGAAGAUGCUCAAGCGUGCAUGUCUGAAGUAGUUCCCAUUUACCUCUUGCUCCCUGAGUUUUCAAGUGGUGCUUGAAUUCUGUAUUCGCAUUGCACUUUCUAACACCGUGCAGCUAGAAAGUCCAGAUCCCAUGUCACACGCUUACCG